rnacentral:rRNA from 1 species
ACGCAGCUAACGCACUAAGCGCCCCGCCUGGGGAGUACGAUCGCAAGAUUAAAACUCAAAGGAAUUGACGGGGCCCCGCACAAGCAGCGGAACAUGCGGCUUAAUUCGACGCAACGCGAAGAACCUUACCAAGGCUUGACAUAUACAGGAAUAUGGCAGAGAUGUCAUAGCGGUAAAACGUCUGUAUACAGGUGGUGCAUGGUUGUCGUUAGCUCGUGUCGUGAGAUGUUGGGUUAAGUCCCGCAACGAGCGCAACCCUCGUUCUGUGUUGCCAGCAUUUAGUUGGGGACUCACAGGAGACUGCCGGGGUUAACUCGGAGGAAGGUGGGGAUGACGUCAAAUCAUCAUGCCCCUUAUGUCUUGGGCUGCACGCAUGCUACAAUGGCUGGUACAAAGGGCUGCAACACUGCAAAGUGGAGCGAAUCCCAAAAAGCCAGUCUCAGUUCGGAUUGGGGUCUGCAACUCGACCCCAUGAAGUCGGAGUUGCUAGUAAUCGUAGAUCAGCAACGCUACGGUGAAUACGUUCCCGGGGCUUGUACACACCGCCCGUCACAUCACGAAAGUCGGUAACACCCAAAGUCAGUGGCCCAACCGCAAGGAGGGAGCUGCCAAAG